AACGAACGCUGGCGGCAGGCUUAACACAUGCAAGUCGAGCGCGUAGCAAUACGAGCGGCAGACGGGUGAGUAACGCGUGGGAACGUACCCUUUUCUACGGAAUAACCCAGGGAAACUUGGACUAAUACCGUAUACGCCCUUCGGGGGAAAGAUUUAUCGGAGAAGGAUCGGCCCGCGUUGGAUUAGCUAGUUGGUGGGGUAAAGGCCUACCAAGGCGACGAUCCAUAGCUGGUCUGAGAGGAUGAUCAGCCACAUUGGGACUGAGACACGGCCCAAACUCCUACGGGAGGCAGCAGUGGGGAAUAUUGGACAAUGGGCGCAAGCCUGAUCCAGCCAUGCCGCGUGAGUGAUGAAGGCCUUAGGGUUGUAAAGCUCUUUCACCGGGGAAGAUAAUGACGGUACCCGGAGAAGAAGCCCCGGCUAACUUCGUGCCAGCCGCCGCAGUAA
rnacentral:rRNA from 1 species